CUUCGGGAGACAAGUACAGCGGCAAACGGGUGAGUAACGCGUGGGACAUCUACCCUGAUGAGGGGAAUAACUCUCCGAAAGGAGAGCUAAUACCGCAUAUACCGUUUUUAACGGGAAAGGCCUUCGGGUCGCAUCAGGAGGAGCCCGCGUCCGAUUAGCUAGUUGGUGAGGUAAUGGCUCACCAAGGCGACGAUCGGUAGCCGGUCUGAGAGGACGGACGGCCACACUGGGACUGAGACACGGCCCAGACUCCUACGGGAGGCAGCAGUGGGGAAUUUUGGGCAAUGGGCGCAAGCCUGACCCAGCAACGCCGCGUGGAGGAAGAAGGUUUUCGAAUCGUAAACUCCUGUCCCACGAGAAGAAGCCAGUGACGGUAUCGUGGGAGGAAGCCCCGGCUAACUCCGUGCCAGCAGCCGCGGUAAUACGGGGGGGGCAAGCGUUGUUCGGAAUUACUGGGCGUAAAGGGCGCGUAGGCGGUUUCGGAAGUCAAGGGUGAAAGCCCCGAGCUCAACUCGGGAAUUGCCUUUGAAACCACGGAACUGGAGUGUUGGAGAGGAAAGCGGAAUUUCCAGUGUAGCGGUGAAAUGCGUAGAUAUUGGAAGGAACAUCUGAGGCGAAGGCGGCUUUCUGGACAGACACUGACGCUGAGGCGCGAAAGCCAGGGGAGCGAACGGGAUUAGAUACCCCGGUAGUCCUGGCUGUAAACGAUGAACACUUGGUGUGGGGGUAUAAAGUCCCUCCGUGCCGAAGAUAACUCGAUAAG
rnacentral:rRNA from 1 species